GUGCUCGCUUUGACAGCACAUUUACUAAAAUUGGAAUGAUGCAGAGAAGAUUAGUGUGGCCCCUGCACGAGGAUGACACGUAAAUUUGUGAAGCAUUCCAUAUUAAA